rnacentral:lncRNA from 1 species
CAGGAAGGAAACAAGACGUGUGGUUUAGAGAACCAUGAGCGGGGACAGUGAGACUGUGCUAGGCAUCAGUGGUCGAAAUCAGUGGAUUGGUUUACGCUCCCUGUGAGCCACGUGAAGGUGGACGGGGAGUGCUGGAUUGGUUUACGCUCCCUGUGAGCAAUGUGAAGGCAGACGGGGAGUGCUGGAUUGGUUUACGCUCCCUGUGAGCAAUGUGAAGGCUGACGGGGAGUGCUGGAUUGGUUUACGCUCCCUGUGAGCCACGUGAAGGUGGACGGGGAGUGCUGGGUUGGUUUACGCUCCCUGUGAGCAAUGUGAAGGCAGACGGGGAGUGCUGGAUUGGUUUACACUCCCUGUGAGCCACGUGAAGGUGGACGGGGAGGGCUGGGUUGAUUUACAUUCCCUGCGAACAAUGUGAAGGUGGACGAGGAGUGCUGGGUUGGUUUACACUCCCUGUGAGCCACGCGAAGGUGGACGGGGAGUGCUGGAUUGGUUUACACUCCCUGUGAGCCACGUGAAGGUGGACGGGGGAGUGCUGGGUUGGUUUACACUCCCUCUGAGCAAUGCGAAGGUGGACGGGGAGGGCUGGGUUGAUUUACAUUCCCUGUGAACAAUGUGAAGGUGGACGGGGAGUGCUGCAUUGGUUUACGCACCCUGUGAGGCACGUGAAGGUGGACGGGGAGUGCUGGGUUGGUGUACACUCCCUGUGAGCAAUGUGAAGGUGGACGGGGAGUGCUGGAUUGGUUUAUGCUCCCUCUGAGCAAUGCAAAGGUCGACUUUUGAAAAACAUAAGGAGAUAUCUGUACCUUGCACCAAAUACAUAAGUAAUUUCCAGAUGGAAUAGAAAACUGUAUUUCCCCACCACCAACACAACCAAGCCUCACGAUAAAUCACAGAAAACAAAACGGACCGGGCGGGCAGGCCUCGGCCGGACGCAGAUGAGGCCACCUAAAGCACACCCUUGGCCAAGAUCUGCCCAGGGAGACCAUGGACACCGCAAGGCCUGGGUGUGAGAGAGUGUUCGUAGCGCGAGUCGCAGCUUGAGGAUGGCUGUCCUGCCUCCGCCUGCAACUGCUACAGACCCUUGUGCAGAGGACAGCCUGGGAGAGGGGCUGCAGCCAGGAGGCCUGGUCUGGAUGAUGCCCCAGCCAGUCAGGGAGACACUGGGCAUUUCUGUUCCUCGAUCACUGCUGUCGGAAUGGUCAAAGGAUCCAGAUCUGGCUGGCGCCCAGGGAGCAUUUGCUCUCAUCCAUGGUCGAGGGUAGGGGCUGUUGAUGAUGACUUUCUGGUGGAGAGUUGGCUGAAUCUUCCAAGAUGAAGUGAGCAUAUUCCCCACUGAGAACCCCUUGGCCAGGGCUCUGGCCACAGUCCGUGUGAGUAGGGCUCCCAGUGGGUCCUUGGAAGGUUGGUGUGUGGUCCCAGCUGUGCUCUUCCACACGGGGUGGGUCCGAGGAGCCGAGUGCCUUACGGUGACG